AACGAACGCUGGCGGCAUGCCUAACACAUGCAAGUCGAACGAGACCUUCGGGUCUAGUUGCGCACGGGUGCGUAACGCGUGGGAACCUUCCCUUAUGUUCGGAAUAACUCCCCGAAGUGGGGGCUAAUACCGGAUAAUUUCUUCUGACCAAAGAUUUAUCGCCCUUGUAUGGGCCCGCGUUGGAUUAGCUAGGUGGUAGUGUAAAAGCCUACCACGGCGACGCUACAUAGCUGGUAUGAGAGGAUGAUUCGCCACACUGGGGCUGUGACACGGUCGAGAAUACUACGCGAGGCAGGAGUGCGUAAUACAGGCAUACGGCCGAAGGCAUGAACGCGUACUGCUGGGUGAGUCCUGAAGUUGUUAGAGAAGAACAGCUCUUUUACCCGCGACGGUAAUGACAGUACCGGGAGAAUAAGCUCCGGCUAACUCCGUG
rnacentral:rRNA from 1 species